GGGUGAGUAACGCGUAGGUAACCUGCCUGGUAGCGGGGGAUAACUAUUGGAAACGAUAGCUAAUACCGCAUAAGAGUAGAUGUUGCAUGACAUUUGCUUAAAAGGUGCAAUUGCAUCACUACCAGAUGGACCUGCGUUGUAUUAGCUAGUUGGUGAGGUAACGGCUCACCAAGGCAACGAUACAUAGCCGACCUGAGAGGGUGAUCGGCCACACUGGGACUGAGACACGGCCCAGACUCCUACGGGAGGCAGCAGUAGGGAAUCUUCGGCAAUGGACGGAAGUCUGACCGAGCAACGCCGCGUGAGUGAAGGAGGUUUUCGGAUCGUAAAGCUCUGUUGUAAGAGAAGAACGAGUGUGAGAGUGGAAAGUUCACACUGUGACGGUAUCUUACCAGAAAGGGACGGCUAACUACGUGCCAGCAGCCGCGGUAAUACGUAGGUCCCGAGCGUUGUCCGGAUUUAUUGGGCGUAAAGCGAGCGCAGGCGGUUAGAUAAGUCUGAAGUUAAAGGCUGUGGCUUAACCAUAGUACGCUUUGGAAACUGUUUAACUUGAGUGCAAGAGGGNANAGUGGAAUUNCNUGUGUAGCGGUGAAAUGCGUANAUAUAUGGAGGAACACCGGUGGCGAAAGCGGCUCUCUGGCUUGUAACUGACGCUGAGGCUCGAAAGCGUGGGG
rnacentral:rRNA from 1 species